rnacentral:rRNA from 2 species
GAGUGAAGCGGCAACAGCUCAAAUUUGAAAUCUGGGUCCGAGUUGUAAUUUGCAGAGGGCGCUUUGGCUUUGGCCGGUCCAAGUUCCUUGGAACAGGACGUCACAGAGGGUGAGAAUCCCGUACGGUCGCUAGCUUGCCGUGUAAAGCCCCUUCGACGAGUCGAGUUGUUUGGGAAUGCAGCUCUAAAUGGGAGGUAAAUUUCUUCUAAAGCUAAAUAUUGGCCAGAGACCGAUAGCGCACAAGUAGAGUGAUCGAAAGAUGAAAAGCACUUUGGAAAGAGAGUCAAACAGCACGUGAAAUUGUUGAAAGGGAAGCGCUUGCAGCCAGACUUGCUUGCAGGCUCAUCCGGGCUUUUGCCCGGUGCACUCUUGCAGCAGGCCAGCAUCAGUUUGGGCGGUGGGAUAAGGUCUCUGACACGUACCACCGGUGAACAUAUAGGGGAGAUGAUACCCCAGCCUGGACUGAGGUCCGCGCAUCUGCUAGGAUGCUGGCGUAAUGGCUGUAAGCGGCCCGUCUUGAAACACGGACCAAGGAGUCUAACAUCUAUGCGAGUGUUUGGGUGUCAAGCCCGAACGCGUAAUGAAAGUGAACGGAGGUGGGAACGGUGCACCAUCGACCGAUCCUGAAGUUUACGGAAGGAUUUGAGUAAGAGCAUGGCUGUUGGGACCCGAAAGAUGGUGAACUAUGCUU